AUUGAACGCUGGCGGCAGGCCUAACACAUGCAAGUCGAGCGGAGCGGCGGACGGGUGAGUAAUGCCUAGGAAGCUGCCUGGUAGUGGGGGAUAACGUCCGGAAACGGGCGCUAAUACCGCAUACUAUCAGAUGAGCCUAGGUCGGAUUAGAUAGUUGGUGGGGUAAAGGCCUACCAGGGCGACGAUCCGUAACUGGUCUGAGAGGAUGAUCAGUCACCCUGGAACUGAGAAACGGUCCAGACGCCUACGCGAGGCAGCAGUGGGGAAUAUGGGACAAUGGGCGAAAGCCUGAUCCAGCCAUGCCGCGUGGGUGAAGAAGGUCUUCAGAUUGUAAAGCACUUUAAGUUGUGAGGCGUUACCUACAGAAUAAGCACCGGCUAACUUCGUGCCAGCAGCCGCGGUAAUAC
rnacentral:rRNA from 1 species